rfam:Triticum aestivum genome assembly, contig: Triticum_aestivum_CS42_TGACv1_scaffold_050195_1BS
AAAGUACUCCCUCCGUCCCAAAAUUCUUGUCUUAGAUUUGUCUAGAUACUGAUGUAUCAAGUCACAUUUUAGUAUUAGAUACAUCCGUAUCUAGACAAAUCUAAGACAAGAAAUUUGGGACAGAGGGAGUAGUUG